rnacentral:rRNA from 1 species
UACGUAGGGGGCAAGCGUUGUCCGGAUUUAUUGGGCGUAAAGAGCGUGUAGGCGGCCAUGCAGGUCAGCUGUGAAAACUCGAGGCUCAACCUCGAGACGUCGGUUGAAACCGCAUGGCUAGAGUCCGGAAGAGGAGAGUGGAAUUCCCGGUGUAGCGGUGAAAUGCGCAGAUAUCGGGAAGAACACCCGUGGCGAAGGCGGCUCUCUGGGACGGUACUGACGCUGAGACGCGAAAGCGUGGGGAGCGAACAGG